rnacentral:rRNA from 1 species
AUACGUAGGGGGCGAGCGUUGUCCGGAAUGAUUGGGCGUAAAGGGCGCGUAGGCGGCUUUGCAAGUCAGUAGUGGAAGUCCAUUUUUCACGGAUGGAAGUGCUACAGAAACUGCGGAGCUUGAGUGCAGGAGAGGUUAUCGGAAUUCCCGGUGUAGCGGUGAAAUGCGUAGAGAUCGGGAGGAACACCAAUGGCGAAGGCGGGUAACUGGACUGCAGCUGACGCUGAGGCGCGAAAGUGUGGGGAGCAAACAGGAUUAGAUACCCUGGUAGUCCACACUGUAAACGAUGAAUGCUAGGUGUAGGAGGUAUCGACCCCUUCUGUGCCGCAGUAAACACAGUAAGCAUUCCGCCUGGGGAGUACGGUCGCAAGAUUAAAACUCAAAGGAAUUGACGGGG